GGUGAAGCUUUCCCCUGCAACCUGGAAUCUUCUGAUGUGGAGAUGUGGAUAGAGAAGGAAGCUCCUCAAGGCUGACAGGGCAUGAAGCUGCUCUGCUUUGGAGAAUGGAAGCAGGAGCUCUCCAGAGGUAUUCCUGAGGUCCUGCAGGGGGAAGGCAGUCCAGUGUGUUACCAACUCAAACUCUGCACACAGUAACACUGGAAAGCAGGGAGGAGACUGGCUUCUCUCAUCUCCUGCAUGUGUAAAUCUGGAUACUGCUGCAUGGUGGCUAAUCUCAACAAGAUUUCAGAGCUGCCACUAAGGUUCAUCUGCUCGCAGAGUCGGAGCCAAGUGAGGUUUAGAUGGAUGGUCUGCCAAGGGCUUCUUCCACGAGACUGCCUUCCACCAGUGCUACAUCCUAACACCUGCUGAGAACAAAUCUUGUGUCAGACUGUGAAAUGCUCACCUGUGCCGCUCCUGCUGCUCCACCCAUCCAGCAGCCUGGAAUGAGAUUUUCCAAGUAAAGCAUCACAAAGUCUGCACCUGGGAUACAAGGCUCUACAAAAUGCACAUUCCCUGUGGUGCAGUUUGAACCCUUCAUUGGGAAUCUUGCUGGGACAUUUGGUUGGACCUAAAGUACUGAGAUACCAGAACUCUCCCAGCCCAUCCUGUAUAUAAUUAUGUGGUGUUAUGCUUCUGACCACUGGGCUCUGUGGGGUGCCCAAGGAUGGUUUUCCAUGGCAAUUCUACAUUUCUCUAAUGUUACCACCAUAAAAUGUUUCUUUUCUGUGAUGCACAGAGCUGACAUUUGGAGAGAAGUAUACAGAAGUAGCUGCUGGGCAGUUGCAAUUUUAGAACAGUUUCUUCAUAAAAGAAUGCUUUUUUUUAAUGCUUGUUCUAAAGUGGAUCAGAUCUUGUGAGAUAAGGAAGAGACUUGCUUCUGAAGCAGAAAGGGAAACAAACAGGUAGAUAAGAAAUUAAUGAAGAAGCACACAAACUUGCACAACUCCAGCAAGCACGUAAUGAGAGCAUUCUGCUGGCAUCAUAAAAACACUGACAAAAGGCAUGGCUUGGUCUUAGAGGAAGCACAAGUCAGCUAAGUGCUGAGAUGGGCCUCAAGCAGUGGGGAUGUUUGGAAAUCCAAAUCUGCGGCUCUUCUGAUUGUCAGGAAAUGCCUGUUCUGUGCAUAUGGUAGUUAAUGGCAAGGAUCUGUGCUGGGCAGAAUGUUUUCCCAUGCUUCACCACUGCAGCCCUUGAUCCUGGGGCUUUCUGGGGUUCUGAUGUUAGCACAAAUGUCCACGGUUGUUCCCAAUUAAGUGGGUUUAUAUUUACUCACAUCUUUGUGAUCCUUUAGAAAAAUACUAACAGCAAUUUAGAUGUUUAUGGCACAUUCAGUAUGCUUAAACUGUUACCUUGCUUUUCUGUUGUAUCUGGAUAUAACACGUACUGUAAGCAGCAGAUUGUGCUAUUGGCAUUUUGUUUGAAUUGAUGUGAUAGACUCCUGCAGCUCUGACAGUAAUGAGUGGCUCUGGGUUAUCCUCCCUAUGUGCAGUGAAGUGCAACUGAGAACCGUGUCCUUUCCAAAUCAAACCUGGGGGACUAAUACGUAAUAAGAGCAUAAAAACCAGAAGCAACUGCCGUAUCCUGGGAACAGCACAAUCCACACUCUCUACAACUGAAAGGAUCCCUUCAGCUGCCAAAGGUCUGAUGAAGUGGGGCUUGGGGCUUUUUAAGAUUGGAGCAGGGACUCUGUGAUGGCUUGUUUGCUGCCGGUAGGCUGCUGUUGGUCCACAAGGAGCUGAUGGCUGGGCCCCAUUUAGAGAAGGCUGCACAGGGCAGUGCUCACCAUUGCUUUGGCAGCUGCAGGAAGCCCUGCUAAAGGGGACAGCUACCAAGAGCUGUGCAGCUCCAGGGUUGUGACAUGUCACCAGGGGCUCCCCAGGUGCUGCAAGCGUUUGUGUGAGAAACCGCCAAAGCUGGCAGUAAAGGACAGGGAUGGAAAGAGACUGGUGUCUUCUGUCUUCCAGCCCAAAUGGAAGUAGGGCCUCUGACUGCCAACAGAGGUCCUGCUGCCAAAUGGAGCUCGGAGGAGAAUUAAAGCUAGGUUCUUGGUGGUUUGUAAUCACAGAAGAUCUCGCAAUGGCUUCUGACAAAGUGCUGCUCUAACCUCAGUGUUCUGGCUGCUUUCCAGCUGCCGUAAUUACCGUCUGUCUUCUGUGCCCCUUCCCUCUUGCACCCUGUAGUUUCAAUUAGAUUUGGUGUUCUUCACUUCUCUCCAGAAUCGCAUAUGCACCUGCGUUCUCCCUACAGAGAAAACCUCCAACACCCACUAUAGUAUUCUAAUCCUGGCAUCAUUUGUUUUACAUUGUGGUUCUGUUAUCUAAUUAGUAUUAUCGUGUACCCGAUGCAGCCUGCCUAGUGUUGGGACCUGCAGCUUUGCACAGAGUCCAUUUAUUAACUUUCUAAACUCUGAACCAAAAUCUUUUAACAAUAGACUAUUUGCUUAAAGAGAGGAGUUUAAUUAAACUCUAGGAGAAAAGGCCAGCCCAUAGCUUAUGAGUAACAGAGUUGCACAUUAACCUGUUUCCUCUGUUUGGUAUUCAGAGGUAUGUGAUGAGCGUUGGCUUUUCUAGUAACUGGAAAAAAGCAAACAGGAGCAAAUGCUCUUUAGGACUUCAGGUGCUUUCCUUCCCUCCAGCCCUUUCCUGCUCCUCUUCAGAACCCCAAGGCGAGAAGAUCGUUUUGUUAUCCACGUAGUGCUGAUGCUCUCUUUCCCCUUGCAGAGAGCUGUGAGCCCCUCUGCUGCCUGCUGGAUGGUUGUGCAGCCCCACAGGCCACACUGAGCUUGGAAGGAGGAGGUGCAAGACAGCACACGCAAGUUCUGAGUGCUGCAGGAGAUUGGAGCGCGGAAGCUGACUGUCCCCAGCUAUGCAAAAAACAUGGCAGUGUGGGAUCAGUCUCCAACUUGAGAGAAGACAGAAAAAAGCACAGCCUUUACCCUGCAGAGAGCAGCAUGCACUGUGUUGCAGAGUGUUCUUUGUUUUGAUAAAAGUCUAUGGAAACACUGGAAUAAAACCAUUAGGAGGCUGUGAUUGCUUCCUGUUUUGCUGUCUGUUGUUGCAGGUGUAAUGAAAGAAGAGUGGUCCUUUGGGCAUCUGUCAGCUCUGCGGGUACAGUACAGGCUGUGAUACCCAUUAACUUGAUUUAAAAAAAAAAAAGAGUAUGGAGCAAAUCUUGAGCUGUUCAGGUGCCAGUGACAGCGUGCGCUUACUCAGAUCUGCUUUGUUUGGUUUUUCAGAGAAGUGCCUUAGCAGCUCUUGAGCACAACUGUAUGAGCAGCACGACUACUGUGUGCUCAGUGCAGGCAGAAGAAGGCUUCUGCUUCACAAUAGCUAAGUAAGUCAAGGUCUUAAGAAAAAGUUAUUUCUUAGCUCUGAGCAGCCUCGCAGUAGUGCAGACAGUACUGAGGAAAGCAGUAGAAUUGCACUGGCAAAAAAUUCAUACUUGGAAUUUGAGACAGUAUCAGUGAGAACUUCAUUUGAGGGUGAAGAGAACAGGCAUGAGCCAGAGAACAAAGUCAUUCUGACUGUCAGCUGCUUCCUUGUAAAGAGCCAAACCUCGAAAUCCCACUUAUAUUAGUUACAGCAUUAGUUGCAUUGAACUUUGUGCAGUCCUGAAGUAGCUUAAAGCAGCCUUAAGGUCAGUCAUAUGCUUUUUUUUUGUGGCACAUCAGUGUUUUUCUGACUACUGCUGUCCCAGUUUUUUACAAGAAAAGUGGCUUUGAUGUGCAUUCAGGAAACUGUGUGUGUGCGCACAGUGACUGUAUGCUGCAGAUCAGACCGGGCUAACUUCUGCACAGGCUGUGCAGAGACAGGAGAGCUCAGGAGCCCUGGGCAGACACAUUGACCCAGCAUUCUUCAGACAGGAAAGUUUUUUAAACUUAUACUCAUCUAAACUAAAAAAAUUGCUGCAAGCUCUUGUGUUGUUCCAUCUGAGUAAAACUGCACCAUAAGCGUGAGCAAAAAUCCAUGUGUAUUAUUUAUAGCUGAUUUACUUCUUCAUACAAAAUGUUUCUGUAAAAAGCAGAAAUUGGAUUGGGCAUUCUCUAUAAACUGGGGCUUUGCAAUGCAGCGUGUGUGAAAACACUUGCAGAUUUUGGCAUUUCAGAGAAUCAAUAAGGCACGUUGUAGACACUCAGUGCCGUGAGUGUUUCCAUCCUUUGUGUGUACUGGUAAGUCUGGGAACAGAUCAAUGAGUUUACACCAGUGUUCAUCAAUACCACUACAUCUUUCUGAAGUAAUUAAGCAAUUCAUAGAAUGAAAUAUGCCAUCUGAGGGUGCUAACG